rnacentral:rRNA from 1 species
GAUGAACGCUGGCGGCGUGCCUAAUACAUGCAAGUCGAGCGAACAGACGAGGAGCUUGCUCCUCUGACGUUAGCGGCGGACGGGUGAGUAACACGUGGAUAACCUACCUAUAAGACUGGGAUAACUUCGGGAAACCGGAGCUAAUACCGGAUAAUAUCUUGAACCGCAUUGUUCAAUAGUGAAAGACGGUUUUGCUGUCACUUAUAGAUGGAUCCGCGCCGCAUUAGCUAGUUGGUAAGGUAACGGCUUACCAAGGCAACGAUGCGUAGCCGACCUGAGAGGGUGAUCGGCCACACUGGAACUGAGACACGGUCCAGACUCCUACGGGAGGCAGCAGUAGGGAAUCUUCCGCAAUGGGCGAAAGCAUGACGGAGCAACGCCGAGUGAGUGAUGAAGGUCUUCGGAUCGUAAAACUCUGUUAUUAGGGAAGAACAAAUGUGUAAGUAACUAUGCACGUCUUGACGGUACCUAAUCAGAAAGCCACGGCUAACUACGUG